GAUCCUGGCUUGGGAUGAAACGCUAGCGAUAGGCCUAACACAUGCAAGUCGAGGGGCAGCACAUGAGUAGCAAUACGAUGGUGGCGACCGGCGCACGGGUGAGUAACACGUAUGCAACCACCUUUUAACAGGGGAAUAACCCGUUGAAAAAACGGACUAAUACUCCAUAACACAGGGGUCCCGCAUGGGAAUAUUUGUUAAAGAUUAAUCGGUUGAAGAUGGGCAUGCGUUCCAUUAGCUUGUUGGUGAGGUAACGGCUCACCAAGGCCACGAUGGAUAGGGGAACUGAGAGGUUUAUCCCCCCACACUGGAACUGAGACACGGUCCAGACUCCUACGGGAGGCAGCAGUGAGGAAUAUUGGUCAAUGGAGGCAACUCUGAACCAGCCAAGUCGCCGUGAAGGAUGAAGGUCUUAUGGAUUGUAAACUUCUUUUGCAAGGGAAUAAAGGUGGGGGACGUGUCCUCCUUUGCAUGUACCUUGCGAAUAAGGAUCGGCUAACUCCGUGCCAGCCGCAGC
rnacentral:rRNA from 1 species